rnacentral:rRNA from 1 species
CUGGGCUCGAACGGCUCACGACAGUCCUGGAAACAGGAUCUCUAUGGAGCUUGCUCUAUGGCGUGAGUCGAGGUGCUGCAUGGCUGUCGUCAGCUCGUGCCGUGAGGUGUUCGGUUAAGUCCGGCAACGAGCGCAACCCCUGCCCUUAGUUGCCAGCGGGUCAUGCCGGGGACUCUAAGGGGACUGCCCUGGUUAACGGGGAGGAAGGUGGGGACGACGUCAAGUCAUCACGGCCUUUAUGUCCAGGGCUACACACGUGCUACAAUGGUCGGUACAGAGGGCUGCGAACCCGCGAGGGGGAGCCAAUCCCAAAAAGCCGGCCUCAGUUCGGAUUGCAGUCUGCAACUCGACUGCAUGAAGCCGGAAUCGCUAGUAAUCGCUGAUCAGCAGGCAGCGGUGAAUACGUUCCC